AUACGUAGGGAGCGAGCGUUGUCCGGAAUUACUGGGUGUAAAGGGAGCGUAGGCGGGAUGGCAAGUCAGAUGUGAAAUUUUCCGGCUUAACCGGGAGCGUGCAUUUGAAACUGUAGUUCUUGAGUGAUGGAGAGGCAAGUGGAAUUCCUAGUGUAGCGGUGAAAUGCGUAGAUAUUAGGAGGAACACCAGUGGCGAAGGCGACUUGCUGGCCAUUAACGGACGCUGAAGCGCGAAAGCGUGGGGAGAAAUCAGGAUUAGAUACCCUGGUAGCCCACGCCGGAAACGAUGAAUACUAGGUGUGGGGGGACUGACCCCCUCCGUGCCGGAGUUAACACAAUAAGUAUUCCACCUGGGGAGUACGAUCGCAAGGUUGAAACUCAAAUGAAUUGACGGGG
rnacentral:rRNA from 1 species